UACGUAGGAUGCGAGCGUUUGUCCGGAAUUACUGGGCGUAAAGAGCUCGUAGGUGGUUUGUCGCGUUGUUCGUGAAAACCGGGGGCUUAACCCUCGGCGUGCGGGCGAUACGGGCAGACUUGAGUACUGCAGGGGAGACUGGAAUUCCUGGUGUAGCGGUGGAAUGCGCAGAUAUCAGGAGGAACACCGGUGGCGAAGGCGGGUCUCUGGGCAACAACGUGACGCUGGAGGAACGAAAGCCAGGGGAGCAAAACGGGGA
rnacentral:rRNA from 1 species